rnacentral:lncRNA from 10 species
CACGCAUUUUUAUUUGAUAAACUAUAAGUAAAGGGAGAGUUGCAUAUGUACGUGCAAAAACAAAUCAAAGAAUAUUUGAAGAUAAUGAAAGACAAUGCUUCAUUUUUUUGUCUCCUUAACAUUGAGAUAAACAUCAAAAUCUACAAUGCACCUUAGAAAUAUAGCCUAAAAUAAGCUUAUCCUCAAAUGAUUUAAAAUUCAUCACAUAUUGAGUCCUGAUGAUCUGGAACGAUUGUUCUUUCCAAAUGAGGUGGUUUCUGGGGACUCUAGUUAGCAACAAGCAGUGAAAGAAAAAAGUUAAGAGUCUCCAUAUACCAAUCACAGAUAAUGUCUGAUUAGCAAGUACUGAGGCCCUGGAACUGUUUGGCCAAAAACCACUUUUAUUUAAAUACGAAGUAGGGUCAAGGAGAAAAAACAAGACUAACUUAUUGAAGCAUCUCUAAGAAGACAUGUCAAGAAAGUCUUCAGACCUCAGAAAUAUUUACUGGCUUAAAAGUAUUCCCACUAACUCUUCUCAUAAUUAAUAAUGGCAAUUGUCAUCAUUUGCUAAGCAGAAUUUCUCCAGGCCCUGAGUUAACUUUAUAUAUAUUACCUAAUUUAGUAUUCACAGUAACACAAUGAUUCCUAAGUCCAGCCUUUUUAAAAUUUGAGAUAGGCAGGACUUGACUGUCCUGCCUAUCUCAAAUGUAUUAUGGAAAUGAGGAUAUCUAAUAUUAGUGAUUAUCUGAUUAGGCAUGCACCUGAAAAGUAAGCCCACCAUGAUGCCAAGCACAUGUAGUCCUAGAUGCUUGGAGCCUGAGGCAAGAGGAUCCCUUGAGCCUAGGAGCUUGAAGCCAGCCUAGAUAACAUAGCAAGACUUUGUCUUAAAAAAAAAAGUGUUUAAAGGAAUAUAUUAUUAUAUUCUAACAUAUUUUUAAUUGUUUAUAUUCAUCUGAGAUUUUGGAAGGCCUUCAUUAAUUUACACAGCAGAUAGUAUCCUCUAUGUUUACUCACGCACACACAUACAAACACAAAAACAAAUACACUUUAGAGUCAGUGCAGUGAAAGGAAAGAAUCCAGGCUUCAAAGUCAGGUAAAUUUGUUUCAAAUAUUGUCUCUACCACUUAGAAGAUGCAUGGCCAUGACAAAAUAUUUAAUUCUCCCUUUUCUGAUCUAUACAAUGAGGAUAAUAGCAUCUACCUCCUAGAACUUCUUGGGGUUUAACUUGGGUAGCGUUUGUGACAGACCUCAGCACAGAGACCCAUAAAUGCUUCUCAUCUUCUUUCUUCUUCCAAAAAGUCACAUGCAUUUAAGAGUCCUACUUUUAAAAAAUGACCUGCCAUUUGGACACCAUCAUUUUAUGUUUUCUGGACAGCACAGGUCCUACUGUGUUCUCCAAAUAUUGUAAAGACUUUGCCUGGUCUCUUCUUGUUUGCUUAGCAACCUACCACCAGAUGGCAGAAGAUGUGUGAUGAAUCAGAAGCAUAAGGGCAUCUCUGUUGGGAAGAAGAUAGGCAUUCCAGAGACGAGAGCAAAUAGAAUAGUAUAGACUCUUCCCACCAAUGGAUAUAAGACAUUGUGCAGAUAAUUCCUACUGUCCAUGAGAAGGUAAUGGUUAAGAUCUCUUCACCUCUUAAGAGCCAUAGUUAGUAUGUCCCAGGAAAGCUCUGUUCCAGGCUAGACUCAGUCACACAGAUCCCACAUUCCCAUCAGCAGGAAUAAGUUAGUGUGGAUCUAAAUUUAAAAGAUUAUGACUCAAGUAUCAUAAUGAAGAAUGGCAGAAACAAAUAAUAACAAAAUGAAUUUUUUUAAUUCAUGAUUCCAUACAAAUAUAAAAUGUGUAUAUAUAUUAUAUAUGUGUGUGUGGUCAUGUUUAUAUGUUUAACAAUGAUAAAUAAAUAAUAUUUUAAGUGGAGUGGACAAGCAAAAGCUCUGUUUUGCAAAAUAAUUCUAACUAAUAAAUUAAGAAGGAAUAAUAGAAUUCAAAAAUCACCAUUUGCAACCACCAUAGUAAUAAUUGAUUGAGAUAAUAAUUAGUAAUAGAUGCCAAAAGCACAGAUGAAAGACUGUUGAAGAACAGGAUAGUAACACAAUCUGAAAUUAUUUCUCCUUCAAUUACUUAUUAAUUUUAAUGAAGAAAGGUAUAUUUGAUAGUGGGGAAAUCUGAUGGACCUCACUUUAAUCAAAAGAUCAAAUUUAGCAUAACCAAUAAAAGAACAAACUGACCUAAUGCGUCUCCUAAUUAGAUACCCUAGGGUGACAAUAUACAACAUCACUUCUGUAGUUUUCUGCCAAAAAAAGUUUAAUCUGAAUAAUAAGAAAAUCAUUAGACAUCUGUCAAAUGACCAACCUUGACUCUUCAAAAGGCCAAAAGGACAAAAAAAAAGUUCUAAAUUAAAGACCCAUAGAGGCAUGACAUGCCAAUGCAAUUUUAAUUUUUUAAUUUUUCAAACUUUUUUAAACACCUAUAAAGGACAUUUUUGGAACAAUUGUGAAAUUUUGAAUAUGGACAAGAAAUUAGAUACUAGUGUUGUGUUAAUGUUGAUUUCUUGAGUGUGAUAUUGAUGUUUGGUUAUGUCAAAGAAUGUCCAUUUCCUAGCAAACACAGGCAGAAGAGGCAAGCACCAGGAAACCUGCAACGAAUUCUCAGCUUGUUCAGGAAAACAAAAAUAUACAUAUAUGUUAUAUAUUUUUUUCCUACUGUACAUGAGAAGGUAAUACUUAAGAUUUCUUCUGACUGCUAAGAGCCAUUAGUAUCCACAUAUCCCAAGAGAGCUGUUCUUACAUUGAAUAGCAACAGAGAGAGAGCAUACAAGCACAAAAGUGACAAAAUGUUAAUAAUUAUAUAUAGGGUUUAGGUUUAUGUGUGUUUAUUGUACUACUCUUGGAUAUGCUUUUUCUUUGAGAUUGAACUUUACUGGGGGCUAUUUUUCUAAUUUUUCAACUGACAAAUAAUCAUUGUACACAUUUACAGUGUACAUAGUGAUGAUUUGAUACAUAUAAUGUUUAGUGAUCAGAUCAGGAUAAUUAGUAUAUCCAUCAUCUCAAACAUUUAUCAUGUCUGUGUUGAAAACAUACAAUAACCUCACCUCUAGCCAUUUAAAUCUAUAUAAUAUUCUUAACUAUAGUGGAUGACUAUAGUUAACAGUAAUAUUUUUUUUUAUAUGAUUCUGGGAAAUCUCAUUUGAGAAAGUCAUUUCAGUUCUAAUUGGGAUCUGCCAUCCUAGGGGACAAAAGUGUAUAUUGAAGUUUAAAUGAAUCAAUGAGCAAAAUAAGCAAGUCCAUGCGUGUUAUGAGGAAAGUGGUCUGAAUCAGCUGGUUCCCAGAGGUGUGGGGCAAGAGUUUAUGCUCCUCCUUCUCUGCUCUUCUGACUAUAUUGUUCAUUUUCUCUUAAAUUUCCUAGUUACAAAAAUAGCUCAGGCCAGAGGGAGGAGUCAUUUUCUUCUCACAAUGACAGUCUACAGUGUAAACCUUUAUUCUUCUGAAUUGCCUUUCCAGUUGGGACCACAGAGAUGACUAUCAGUGCAUCUAUAAUAUAAACAUGGUUGCUCUGAGCUCCAGCAGCAUGCCCAUUUACUGUAAGGCCAUAUGUGAGCUCCACAGGACGGCAGCAUAUACGGUUAUCUGAAUUUAUUCUCUACCUGGAAUGAAAGUAGGUCAUCACAUCCAUAUCUGAGAUAGGUCAGACUUCAGAGCUUCUCUCAGCCCCCCAGCUGUUUCCCUUAUGUUGUUACACUUUCCAGGGCUGCACAGAGUCUAUUUUGAGAUUUUUUUUAAAGUGGAAAGUUGGUAUGGUGUCUGCGAUCCAUUGAAAUAUAUUUUCUAAAGGACACACUUCUUUAGAAAACAGGCAGUCUACUGCCCUCCCAUUCCCUGCCUCCUGUGCUUAGCCCUUAACCACGUUAAACCUGGAAUAUACAUAGGAAUCUAUCAGAUGUUGAAACAAACAACAUGCCCAGGAAUCCAUUCUGACAGGGACUGGCCAGGUGUGGACUGUCCUUAGGUUCUUCCUUCUUUCUAUACCAUUUGUAAAAGUGUAGCUCUAUAUUUUACUACUAUGUUAACUUGAAUCCAGAAAAAUAAACACAAGAAUUUCAAAUAUUUUCAGGGUGUCUUAAACAAAUUUCUGCAUUUCUGUUAAGCAAAUAUCUGCAUUUCUGUUGCCUCACUUCUAAAAUAGUGAUGUGUCUCAUUAAGUUGCAUGGGAAUUAAAUAAGAAUGUGAACUUCUGCUUGAUCACGAACUCCUAGAGAGUAAGGACUUCCUCAUUCUUCUUUGUGUCACAGCACCGCAUCUGAAUAUAAAUAGAUGCCUUAACAAAGACAGUCUCCUAUUUCCACGUAGUCUAGGAAAGACCAUUUUAACUAAUAGGUUCUAUAGUUAUAUGCUGUAAUAUUUGAUGUAUAACAAGUAUAUGUAGCUCUGUUUGUUUUGCUGUUCUUACUCUGAAUGGCACCAGUUCUUAGAUACAAGAAAAUACUGGUUUGAAUUUUAAAAUACCACAUUGUUGUCUUUUAAUUAGAUGAUUAAGAUAAACAGAGCAAUAAGAAUAUUAUUCAAAGGUUUUUCUAUCUUAGGACAAGGGUCAGCUAAUUUUUUACGAAUAGCCCAAUAACAAAUAUCUAAGCUUUGUGGGCUAUAUGGUCUCUGUCACCACUACUUAACCCUGUGAUUGUAAUGAGAAAGCAGCCAUAGACAAUAUAUAAGUAAAUAAACAUGACUGUUUCAAUAACACUUUACUUAUAAACACUGAAAUUUAAUUUAAUCUUAAUUUCAUUUCAUUUUAAUUAACUUUAAUUUUAAUUUCAUUUAAUUUUCACGUGUCUCAAAAUAUUCUUUCUUUGAAUUUUGUUUCAAACAUUUAAGAAUGUAGAAAACACUCUUAGCUCGCAGACUAUACAAAACAGGCAGUUUGGUGUUAGAAUAUUACCUGUAUUCGAAUAUUGUAUGAAUUUAUCAAGCAUUUUCAUAUCAAUCUAAAAUUUGACUUCUAAAAGUAUGAGUUAAACAGAUAUUGAAUUGAAAUUCAUAUUUUAAAGAGAGAGGGUUAAGACAAUCGUUAAGUGCUUCUUUAGAAAGUAGUCCUUUAUCAGAAAUGUAUUGAUUUGUUUUUAUUAUUUUCUAAUAACAAUCAAAGUUUCUAAAAUUUCUGAAUUUAAGUGAACUGUAAAAAUUAUUUUCACUGUGUAGGUGAUUUAGAAUGAUUAAAUUAGUCAUGCUUCAAUCAGUUUUAAUUGCUUGGGGGUGCUAAUUAAGAGCACAUUUAUUCAUUUACUUUUUAUAAGUAACCUCCCCACACACACAAGUACUAACAAUGUUAGAGGUGCCAUACACGUUUUUGAGAAAGAAGUAUGUAUUUUUUUCUUGAUAUGUAAUCAUCCCAGUUGGGGGGGUUCAGUAUAUGUCAAUAGAAGGGAGAACUUGACAAACCCAAAAGAAAAGCCAAAAUGUAUAAAAGACUCUUAUCAAAAAAAGGGAGCCUGUUAGGUUAUUGUUCACUCUUCUCUAGCUGAUUCACCCAAAACUUCAGAACCUAUGCUUGAAAACCUGUGUCAUCAUUUCUUCACAUAUAGUUGUGAGGGAUGGGGAGGAUGGGAGUUAUUCAUUUAACAAAUAUUUAUGAGUUCCUCUUAUAUGCCAAUGACUGCUCAGGCAUUGGCAAAGUGGUGGUGAACCAGGUAAGUACGUUCUCUAUUCUCACAGAGCUUGCAUUCUAGUGAGCAUAGGUGAACAAAUGAAGAAAAAUGUUAGGUAACGACGAGUACAGUGCAAAGAAUGUUAAUAGGCUAUUGUAGCAGAGAGUAACUACUAGGAAGGCUGGUUAAACCAGCUGAUCAGAAAAGGGUGUCCAAAGGAAGGUAACACUGAAGUUCAGAUAUAAUUAACAAGAAACUGGUUGCAUCUUGAAAGGGAAGUGCAUUCCAGGCAGAGGGAACAACUAGAGCAAAGGCCCAAGGUGAGAAUGAGAAUGAGCUGUUCUAUUUGAGAAACAAAAAGAACCCCUGUAUGCAGUGUUUUGCAAGCCAGGGUAAGAAGUUUGGAUUUUAUUUUAGGCAUAAUGGGGCAAGAGCUUAAGGAGACAGAUCAGUAAGAAAGGUAUUACUGUAGUCCAGGCCAGAGAUGAUGGUGGCUGUGAGCAAGGUAGCAAUCAUGGAGUUGCAAAUAAAUGGAGGUGGAAAAGGCAGAUCUGUUUUGAAGAUAAAAGCAACAGGUCUGUAAAACAUUAGAUGUGGGAGAUAAGGAAAAGAGGAUCAAGAAUGACUCCUCAAAUUUUCGUUUUAGCAACUGGAAGGAUAAAAUUACCACCUACUGAGAAACUAAGACUGUGGGGAUGUGGGUUUUGGGUGGGGGCAGAGCAAGAGUUCUGUUUUAGUCAUAUUAAACUUAAGAUACUGUAUUAGUUUCCCAGGGCUGUUGUAACAAAUUACCACAACCUGUGUGGCUUAAAACAAUAGAAAUGUGUUCUCUCACAGUUCUGAAGGGCAGAAGUUCAAAAUCAAGGUGUGAGUAGCUUAAUGAAUUCUAACUGAUUCAUUAUAAUUCUACAUCUGUUGAAAACUGAAAUGAGCUCUUCAAUUGAGACAGAGAACUGCCUAAUGAUUAAGAGCAGAAAACUUUUGCAGGCAGACUACAGGCAACAGAUAUGCCACCCUAAAAAUACGACACUUUUGCUUAAGGAUUAUUUCGAGCUGAUGAUUUUGAGAAACAGCAGACACAGGAAAAGGUCUGAAAACACUAGAAAUUACCCUUUUGUAAUGUAAAUUUACAUUUGUAAAAUAAAUCUCCAUUUUCAAGGAUGACCUUCCACUCUGAUCUCCUCUCUUCUUUCCAGGAAGAAAAAAAAUGACUAAAUCACAGGACCAAACCUCAUUCUUGCUGAUACACAUUUUCUGGCUACCUUCCCAUAACUGGCCUUCCCUACAUCCUUUUUAUUUUUUCUUUAGCUGAUGAUGAUAUUUAAGCCUGAAUUCCAAGCCACCUCAGAGUUACUCUUUCCUUGAAUUUUAUCCCAGGUAUAUAGGAAGCACACAUGUUAAUAAAUGGCUGUUUGUUUUUCUCUUGUUAAUAGGUCUUUUGUUAUAGGGGCCCCAGCUUACAAGGGUCCAAGAACUUUGAAGAGUAGAGAGAAAAAUAUUUUUUUCUCCCCUACAAUAUCCUGGAUUUGAUUACUGAUGCUGCCACUUUACUAGCUGUGAGACUUUGGGCAAAUUAUUUGACCUCUGCAUGCCUCUGUUUCUUCAUCUGGAAAGUGGGGCUACAAUGCAAUUCUGACACUAAUUACGUGGAGUUAGGUAAAAUUUCACAGAACAAGGGCUCAGACCUCCACAAGACUGGCCUCACUUCAAACACUAGCCACAAACUCAGGGAUUCCCAGGCCACCUGCACUUCUGACCAAAUGGCCUCAAGUUUGGAGGCUUUCACUACCUCUCCAGGUUUGAUAAUUUGCUGGAACAACUCCCAGAACUCAGGUAUGUGCUAUACUCUCACAGUUUUAUUAUAAUAGAAUCAGCAAAAAGAAAAGACACACAGAGCAAGGUCUGGGAGGAUCUCUGUGCAAAGCUUCCAUGACUUCUCCUUGUGGGGUCACGACAUGCCAGACCCACUCAAGCUUCAGUGUCCACAGAUUUUAUUGGGGUUUCAUUAUAUAAUGAGGCAUAUAUAAUUAUAUAGGCAUGAUUGACAGAAUCAUUGACCAUGUGAUUGAACUCAGCCUUUAGCCUGCCUUCCCUCCCAAGAGGUUGGACUGAUAUCGUAUGGGUCAGUCCUUUAAUCACAUGGCCGGUCUUUCCAGCAUAGUCAGCCCUCAUCCUGAAACUAUCUAGGGACCCACCAUGAGCCAUCUCAUUAGCAUAAUCUAUCAGGACCCACCAUGAAGAGCAAAGACACUAUCACUCAGGAAGUAUCUAAGGAUUUAGAGGCUUCUUUGUUUCCAUGGACCAGGGAGAAAGUCCAGCCAAAUCCAUUACUAUGUAGCAGGGGCUAAUGAUAAGAUCUACCUCAAGUGGCUGUUGUGAGGAUUAAGAGAGCUAAUAAAUGUAAAUUAGUUAAAACACUGUCACUCUAGAAAUGUUAGCCAUUAUCGGUCAUUAAAUAUUAGAUAUUUCUGCAUAUGUUCAAUAGGUGCUAUUAAACCUCACACUUGUGCUACAUUUUCCUCCCUAAGAGGAAAUAUAGGAAAUAUUUCCCUAAGAUAAUCCACCUUAAUUUGUCUAAAUGUAAUAGACCCCAUAGGAAAUUCAUGCAAAUGCUGAAGAAUACCUAGUUUUCGACCAUGUUUACAAGAUCUGUGCCAAGUUUCUAACAUUACACCAUUGUGUGCCAGAGUAAAGUUCUUAUAUAAAACCUAAAAAAUGUUGAGUGACUGGAGGAAUUACUAGCAAUCCAUACUUCAGGCUAAGCCAUCCAGCUGCAAGGAAACAUAAUCAAUUUAUAAUAUUCGUUUUUUGUUAAUCGCUUCAACAAAUGCUUAUGUAAUGCCAGGUGCUACUCAAAGUGUGGAGGCUACAGCAGUGAACUAAACAAAGCUAUUGCCUUCAUUGAGCUUGUAUUCUAAUGGAAAAAUUCAGAUAAUAACCACAUUUUAAAAAUACACGUAUUUUAAUAUAUUUGAUUAUAUAUAUAUAUAUGGUGAAAAAUAAAGCUGAGUUAAGGGAUGGAGAGUGACUUAGGGUUCUAUAUUUAAUAGGGUAGUCAAAGAGAAGCUUUCUCUAAGGAGGUAACAUUUAAGGCAAAUCUGGAAUGAAGUGACUCCUAUGUCUCCUGACCUGUUUUCUACUGUGUAUGUACCAGCUGUUCUGCCCUGCUGGUAUAUGCAUGCAUAGUCUUUCUCUCUCACCUUCUCUCUACAUUAAGCCAGUUCACCCUGUUUAUAGCUGCCCAUUUCUUCUACAUGUCAAGGUCAGUUUAAAAUUCAAUGAUGUUCUACACCUCGUCAUUUUGAGUCAACAUCAAAUUUAAUAAAUGGAUAAUGCUGAUAUUGAUUUUUUAAGAAUUUUAGUCAGAGAGAGUGGUUAAACGGAUGAUUUUGUAGAGAGAACGCUGGGGCUAACUCGAGCAAGGCAGUUUAACAAUCUAUCCUUUGAGAAAGCAUCAGAAUUCAGGUUUGUUUUUGUUUUACUUUUAUUCUGCAACUGCAGACUUCAGUUAAUAUUACGUUAUCAGAGACAGUUUGGAAUAUGGUUUUUUAAAUAUUCCAUUUGACUUAAUAUCAUUUCUCUAUGGUGAAAUCUCUUUGCUGUAGAAGUUCUUUUUAUAGAUAAUUGAGCCUGAAAGUGAAACCUAGGCAUUUGAGGGAAAUGUAGCUGAUUGUGUUUCCAGAGGGACAGGAUAUAAUCCCAGACUCAUUCCUGGAACCAGUGAAGCAUGAAGCACAGGACAGUCCUUGAUUUCAAUAAAAGAUCCAAGGCUAUUCCCUGACAGUUGGGGGGCAGAUUGCCAAGUAAAAGGCUGCCUCAUCUUCUCCACCAUCUAUUCAGGGCACACAGCACUCAGAUAAUAAAUGAUGGGCCACUGAAGCCAUUAACAAGUAGAAAAUGCAUUGAUAACUUAUCUUCUUUUCACGAAAAUUCAGCAGAAAUAUUCAUCAAGCCCAUUGUCGAAGAAAGAGACAUAGAUCAAAGAAAAAAAUGGAAGGGAGGGAGGGAAGGAGGAAGGGAAAAAAGAAAGAGAGGGAGAGAGAGAAAGAAAGAAAGAGAGAGAGAGAAAAAGUCCUCAGCAAAAAGGAUAUCCACUUUUACUCUUGGAAAAUAGCACUAGAAACAGAUAAGUUCCUUAGUUAAAAGCACAGAAGGGGUUAUGUUCAGCUUUAUAACUGGAUAGCAGGGUCGUACAUUACAGACCAUUAUGAACAGAAUCAUAGGAAGAAAGCAGCAGAUAUAUACAAUCAAACCAUCUAUUGAGGCAUGGAACCACGGAGCUGCAGAAAUCGCCAUAGAAAGCAGUGUAGUGACAAUACAAUUUUAAAUCCAUUUAAUAGGCAAACUAUAUCAAUUGAAAUUUCUCAGGGUGAAUGAGUUUAAAACUCGUUAUCUGUAGAGCAGCCUAUCCCUCGAUGCCACUUUAUUUACUCAGAUGGAGAUUGUAGAAUAUGGGUAAACAUUACGGCUCCAGCCUCAACAUGCUUUGUAGAUAAAUCCAAUACAGUAUUUGUUCUCUAUGCCUUUGCAUAAGGUUCUUUUCCACUGUAGAAGGAGAGGGUGGAAAGUGAGGAGAAUGAAGACAGGGGAUAUCUUUAAAAGACACUGUGCAAGGAACUGUGAAAUAGCAAGAUGUGUUUGCCAUGCAGGCCAUAUCCAUACUAGAAGGCACUCUGUCAUUUAAUGUUCCCACUUCAGAGUUUUAAAGAGCUGGGACAUGCUCUAACCUCUUCAAAAGGUAUACCAGAUAGUAAGAUUGACUGUAUCUAAAGGCACCAGUUAGCCAAAACACUCAGCAAGGUAACUUCACCAGGUAAAAAUUAUGUAAUAUGUAUUUGUUUUUAUGGUUGAAUUUUCACAUUUUCUCUUUUCUCCAAUUGGAAACUAGUUUAGCCUAAUGAAGUGAAGUGUCUAAAAUGGAACCAAGGGACAAAAUGUUCCCAGGAAAGUACAACGAAAAUAAUUCAUCAAAGAAUUAUGGAUAGAGAAGAUUGGAAACAUUUUCUGUGGAGGGGAUGAAAAUUGGAAUACAAAAUGUAAGCAUUCAACAUAAAAAUUUCACCACACCUCUGAUGAGUGGUCUGCGGAUACUUUUUUUUCACUUACUGAAAGGCAGAGGUGGAUUCAGACUAGACAAAGCACUCUGUCUUGCUAAAUGUCUUAACUCUUCUUUUUGUCUAUUUCAUUGGUUACUCAUGGAAAGUUUGCUAUUUUAGGUAGGAAGGAGAAUAUUGUGAUCACAAGGACCUCUUUGUUCCCAUACAAGAAGAAUGUUUUGGUGAGUUCACUGAUUUGGAGGUGAAAUACUCUAUAUGGAAUUUCUUGGAAUGAACAGCAUAUUUGUUGAAUGUGCCACGUAUACUUACUGUUAUAGUAAAGACUCAAGUGUGAGAUAUUGGCGUGGGAUUUGGAGCAUUUCACUUAGUCUCUCCAUGGAGUGUUUUUUAUGUAUAAAAUCAGAAAUUUAGAUUAGGUAAUCUGAAACCCAUUCAAUGUUCUAUGAUUUGAAUCUUUAUCAAGGACCUUAGAAUGGUACAUAAUAUUUUUAGGGUAAGAGAUCUCAGCCAAUAUGAACUGGUCUUUAUCAGGCACUUGCAUAUGACUUUUAAUCCUCCAAGGAUUAAAAGCAACCCUCUAAGCAACCUUACGAGUUUACCAGCACAGCAAUCCUAUAAGGUAGUUACUUUCACUUUAAAAUUUAAUUUGUUUGAGAUAAUAAGCAAGCCUAUAAAGAUUAAAUAAAAUUCUCAAGAUUUCACAGUUAUGAAAUGGAAGAGGUUGAUCAAAUCCAGGUCUACCUGAUCACAAAGAUAAGUUUUUAACCACUGGGCCGUAUUACCACCCUUAGAGAAUGUGGUCAAUCCCGUGUCCUCAUUUUUACAUCUGUAACUGCCAGCUAAAUGAGGUCAAGUAACUUGCUGAAGGUCACAGAGUCAAAAGUGGCAGAGUCAGAAUCUGAAUCCAGGUUUGUUUUCCUCCAAGUUGAUAUAUAUUACCUUACACCACAUGGCCUGUUUUCUGAAGCUACAAAAUAGUACGUAAGCCAAGCAGGAGGGUAGUAUUUCCUAGGAUUCUAAUGAUCAGAUUUAAUAAACAUAAGUUCAUAUAACUAGAGAGAUCCUAACUGAAGUCCAGGGUAGGUUAAUUUUCAAAACAAAAACACAAAAAAAAGAGAAAAUAAAACAGACUUAAUGAGAACUGAAGAUUAAAUUUAAAAGGCUUACAUGCCAACUUUCCAUCAACUUGCAAUCAAAAUGGUAUCUAAAUUCCCAUUAUUUCCUGUCCCUAAGAAUAGUCUAGAUCCAAAAAUGUCCUGAGUUCAAGAUCUUUGGAGAGCCUCUCCAGUUUACAUGAACAUUACUGCCAACAGGAGCCAUAGAGUAGCAAUUUAAAUGGACCACCUUGGUUUCCUGUGGAAGUCUCAUCAUUCAUAGACACAUGAGCAUCUUUUGUAAUGGUGAAUGUCUUGAUGCUUAAAACUUUAUCAAUUUUAAGCUGUCAUAAGAAAAGCAGCAAUUCCUUUGCACAGAGAGAAUAUGUACAUAUAUUUUGUCCCAUCAAAGAUGACUUCAAAAGUCCUCCUCCAAUUUGCUUUGAGAAAAAAUAGCCUUUAAGCUGAGAUUAAGAAGGGAAAAACUUCCGAUAAAAGGGAGUAUUUUUCAAAAACUUGCAAGUGACUGCAAAGCCAGUUAACACAGAAAACCUUGUCACCUUAAGUAUGCCAUUUGUUAUCACACAUGCCGGAAUACAUCUAUUCAUCUUCUUUUAAUUGCUUAGCUGCGCUAGAAAUACAAAGCAGCUCACUGAAGCAGAGACUGUGAAAGAAUAUUUUGUCAUGGAAACUUUGAAAACAUUUCAAAGCAGGAGCUCUUCUCUGGUUAAAUGAAACCUUCUAGCUGUUUCUUGGGCAUUGUGUUUGGCUGAUAAGAGUCUAGAACAGGUCUUCUCUCUGUGUGGCUUUUGCUUAUAUCUUCUUGUGCUCACGGAUGGCUGAUAAAAUUCCUGCAAUUUUCCAAGUAGAGUUUAGAAGAGUAGCAGGUUAUUCUUUCUUCCUCUUCUCUUGCAAAAUGACAAGUGAGAUGAUCCCUGAGUAAGGAGGUAAAUACUGGUUACCACUCUGUGUGUAGCCAAGAUGAAUCUUGGGGCAUUUUUGAACCCAUCCUCCCUCUGAAGAAUUUUGCUGAAAGUUGUUUUACAAAAAUUAAUUGGGAGGCCAUUAGCCUGAGACAGCUCCAGAACCUUGAGUACCUACAUCAGCAAAGUGAAACCCAACUCAAAGUGAAGGGUCACAGCCUAGGACAGCAAAACAGGGUUAACCAAUCAGAAACUGCCAGAAACCUCUAACUAGGGACUUUCCACUUUAAUCAAAUAUUUUCUCUGUCUUGCUUGCCAGAACAUCUUAUACAAUUUUCCCUUCACAGCACCUCUGUGGAGCCCUGAAUUGCUAGUGAUCUGGCACUGGCGGAUUUAUGAAUCGCUGUUUGCUCAAAUAAACUCUUUAAAAAAUUUAAUGUGCCUAAGUUUGUCUCUUGGUUUAAAGUCUGUUUUAUCAGAGACUAGGAUUGCAACCCCUGCCUUUUUUUGUUUUCCAUUUGCUUGGUAGGUCUUCCUCCAUCCUUUUAUUUUGAGCCUAUGUGUGUCUCUGCACAUGAGAUGGGUUUCCUGAAUACAGCACACUGAUGGUUCUUGACUCUUUAUCCAAUUUGCCAGUCUGUGUCUUUUAAUUGGAGCAUUUAGUCCAUUUACAUUUAAAGUUAAUAGUGUUAUGUGUGAAUUUG